rnacentral:lncRNA from 1 species
GUCUUGCCAUCCUCAUGCCUCAGCCUCCUGAAUCAUUGGGAAUACAGGCACGCACCACUGUGCCUGGCUUAGAAUGUUCUAUAGAUGGGAUCAUACAGUAUGUGACCUCCUGAGAUUGGCUAGGAGGUCAUUAAACAUCAUGCCUGGGGUCCCAUACAGAUUGCUGCAGGUAUCAGUAGUGCCUGGUCUUUUAUUGCCAGGCAGGUUUCUAUGGCCAAGACGAGUCUCGGAGUGUGUUUAAUCUUCACCUGUUGAAGGGCAGGUCUUUGGGUUGUUUGCAGGUUUUAGCAAUUACAGGUGUAGGAGUGUGGAGGUUUUCGUGUAGACAUCAGUUUUUGUUUCUCCAAGGGAAACAGUAACCAUGGAGUUGUGUGGCAGAUGUGUGUUUGUUUUAUAAGAAACUUCUAAGUUGUUGCCCAGAGUAGCCUGUGCUGGAUGCUUCUUGCCACAAAGUGUCGGCUCAUGUAUUCCGCCCAUUUUCUAAUCUCCUAUAAUUGCCCCUCAACUAUCAUUUUUUUGGUACUGGGGUUUGAACCCAGGGGCACUUAACCACUGAGCCACAUCCCCAGCCCUUUUUUGUAUUUUAUUUAUUUAAAGACAGGGUCUUACUCAAUUGCUAAGGGCUUCCCUCAAUUGCUGAGCCUGGCUUUGAACUCCUGAUCCUCCUGCCUUAGUCUCCUGAGCAGCUGGGAUUACAGGCGUGUGCCACCAUGCCCAGCCCACCUUUGUUUUUAAGCCACUAAUUUGUUUAGAGCCCAGGCCACUUGUCCCAUGGACUGUCCCACUGUCCAGGAUGGCCAUUGCUUUUCAUGGUGUCAUGAAUGCUGUUCCUCUGUCUGUUUUCUGGAUAUUGGUGGUUAGUUCUGGAGGCUUGGCUAGAUUCCACCUCACACAGGCCAAAAGUCCUGCCGAGGGUGGGGCCUCAUGCUCACACUAUAUCCCUCCGGGAGCCUUGGGAUGGGGGGGCUGCCUCAUGUUAGUGGUACUGAUGUUGCCCUGUGCCCACGGCUUGAUCUGUGCAUUGCCAGGUUUUCCAUCAACACUUCACUGCACCUCCUUUUUUUUUUUUGGUACCAGGAAUUGAACUCAAGGGCACUGGACCACUGACCCACAUCCCCAGCCCUAUUUUGUAUUUUACUUAGAGACA